UGACUUCUCUCCGAUGCCCAGAUGAUGCAGU
rnacentral:piRNA from 2 species